rnacentral:rRNA from 1 species
ACACGGAGGGUGCAAGCGUUAUCCGGAAUCAUUGGGUUUAAAGGGUCCGCAGGCGGAUUAAUAAGUCAGUGGUGAAAUCCUCUCGCUCAACGAGAGAACUGCCAUUGAAACUGUUAGUCUUGAAUUCGGUCGAAGUAGGCGGAAUGUGUCAUGUAGCGGUGAAAUGCAUAGAUAUGACACAGAACACCGAUAGCGAAGGCAGCUUACUAGACCUGGAUUGACGCUCAUGGACGAAGGCGUGGGGAGCGAACAGGAUUAGAAAUCCCAGUAGUCC